rnacentral:tRNA from 1 species
GGGGAUAGAGCUCAUUGGUAGAGUGCUUGCCUUGCAUGCACAAGGCCCUGGGUUCAAUCCCCAGCACCA